GACCCGAUAGUCCAGUGGUUGGACCGCCUGAAUAAAUUCAUCCUUGUCAAGCGUUCAACAGGUGCUCGGGUUCGACUCCCGGUUGGGUCA